rnacentral:lncRNA from 1 species
UGGUGAAAAAAGCAUCCAAAGGAAAGAGCCAUUCUCCACAUUCCCUCUGCCCUAUGUAAAAUUCCGCUGAAGCUUAAAGGAAGAUCAUUUCGACGACAAGUGAAGAAUGAAGCAAGCCUCUUGUUAGAUAUAGCAUCCUAGCUCCACAAAUAAUUCCCUAAUGACCUUUAUUUUCCUGUCCUUCCUGUAAAAUUUAUCUUUUUCUCAACUGCAUUCUGGAGUGAAGAGUCUGUACAAACAAGUCCUUUCUUUCCCCCCGGGAAGUCCCGGAAGGGAAACCUUCUAGCGUUGUGAUGUAAGUUUUAUCUCUUGUUAAUAUUAUAUUUCUCGAACUCUUCUAUCCAUGGCAUUUUCUUUGCCCCAUGAUUCCCUUUCCUUGGACUCUUAAUGAAAAUUUAUGGGUUUUCUCUGGAUAAUUAUUUCAGCUUAAGCAAGUGUAAAGCAUAUAUGCUUGGCAGAUUUGAUAAGAGAAAAAAUGCUCUGUAAAUUUCGCCAUUGAUAGCCAGAAGUGCUUUGCGGCGUUAGAGCGAGGUUCUCUGAAAACUGUACGCCAAGAGGGUCUUGUGCACCAACACUGUGUCUUAAGUGAUGUUAUCCACAUUAGAAAAUUAAAUUUCAUCAUAAGUCCGACUUUUAGGAAAAUUGCAUCAUCGAAAAUUUAAUGAGAUAAAGAGUUUUAGAAAUAUAAAAAACAUCUGAAAAAAUUUUUAUCGUGAUUUCUAGAAGGGAGUACCAGACGGGACCUACUUUAAAAAAGAUUUGGAAACUUAGUUUAUUUUCUAAAACGGAGAUUUUAAAUUUGCACUUCAUCCUAUUUUUGUUCAUACUACAAAUAUCUUUCAAGACAUAUAUUAUUUUCUGUCCGUUCCUUUUUUACUGCGAACUGUCUAUCAAACAAUCUCAUCUAAACAUCCACCUAUCCAUCCCAAUUAAAUUAAUAUUUAAUAACGACCAACAUCGUUUCCGCCUUCAAACACACUUUAAUUUAAGUUUUUAAAAGCUUUCUCUUAAAGAAAAGUUUAAAAAGAUAAAAAAAAAAAAGAGAAAAGACAACGUGCAUGUCACUUUGCGUAAUUAGCACUAAUUACGCCACUUAAAUUUUAGACCGGAAAAAUUUAUAAAAAAUCUUAAAAAAUCAGAAAUAUUCCCACGAGUCUUUUGCUACCCUUGUCCAGAGUAGCCGACAUAUAGUUUCCCCUUUGCAUUUUUCUGUUUGCAUAGUAAACUUAAAAAGUUUAAAAAAAAAAAAAAAAAAAUUUCCACGUGAAGCCACUGUAUGCAUAGUUAUCGUGCAUAGUAACUUCACUAGUUUUCGACAGCAACAUUUCCAGACAGAAAAAAUACCAAAAAAUUCAGAAAAAUCUUACGAGUAUUUUGCCACCAUUCUUCAGAAUAGCCGACAUACGGUCUCUCCCCCCCUCUCUGCAGCAGGCAAGUAGCAGUAGUGCUUGGCCCCGUAAUACAGGGCAAGUAGCAGCAGUUUGCAGCAACCCCCCGCGGUGGCGCGCGUGUUUUGUGUGGAAAACAAUUACAAUCAACUACUUAAAAAGACUAAUAAAAACUAUGUCACGUGGUGCAAAGUGAAUAUGCUAAUGGAUGAAUAUUAUUUACUGUAUUCAAGUGUCGGAGAGGUUUUCCAUCAAUUGAAAAGAUUAAAUGUUUUAAGAAAAGAGCAGGGGAAUUGAUAAGAGAAGAAUAAUUGAUAAAAAGAGAUGAAGCAGACUGACAAAUUUUCUGUUUUCCAAAUAGCCAAUGCAUAUGGCAGACUAUCUCAGUUUGACCAUUUUCACUUCAAUUUGUAUUAUAGCUUUAUUAGUUAAGUCUUGAAAUUGAAAAACUCCAUAUCAACCCCAUGAAAUGCUAAUAAAGAAAAUAGGAUUUUGGAAGUUGAAUCAACACUACAAGCGAAAAUAGUUUCUUGAAUAAAUGAAAAAAAUUAUCAUAUAUAGCAUGUGUCCAAAACAUGGAGUUAUUUAUUUUCCAUCUCUGCUGAUAGUAAUGGGGCUAUUUCUCCACUUAUAUUCCCACCAUAUUUUCAGUACCUUUACAUAAAUUAGUUUCUUAAAGAUACUGCAUGUCUUUGAUCUAGGUAUUUGAAGUUCCUCCUUAUAACAAUAGGAAAGGCUUUCUUGAUGUUAAGUGACAGUGUACAAAAUGUGCAAAGGUUUUACUUUGAAGAGAAAAUGCAAGCCUUUAGCUUUUCUUUGAAUACUCAUACCUUACUCAUGCAAUAACAGCCUUCGAAUUGGACGUCAAAAUAGAUAGAUUGUCCAACAAUUUAUCUGAAAAUAGAGGGGUUAAGAACUUAAGAUCUAGUAGAGGAAAGGCCAUGAAGCUGAAUCUUCAUUAUAUCAAGUCGUCCCAAUAAUUUAUGCAUCUUAAUCUGUUGUAGCUUCUAGUCUUAUAUUGAUUCUCUUGAUAAGCUUUCUCUUAAUGUUGGAUCCCUUUUGAGGAAAAGACUUCAAUUCACUCUGCCAGAUUUGAUAAUGUGCUCAUACAAUAAGGAAAUGAGAAUGACAAAAAUAUGAGAAGAUUAGAAGGUACAAUAGAAUUAGACAAAAGCUGAUCAUUACGAGUUAAAAGCAGGGAUAAAAAAUACAAAAGUCAUUUUCCAAACUCAAUAGUGUAAUACACAAUUUAUUUCUAUUUUUCAACUAUCCACUUCACCCUCCCUUAGAAUCUCUAUAUGUCCCUCCACCUUAUCCUGUUCCGACUUGGCCGCACGCCGCCUGCGGGCUGCUAUUGCUUCGCCCGUGGAGGUUGGGGGCGGUGAGGCCUGGUGGGAUGAGGCUAUCUGUGAUGAGGAAAUGUGAGGGAGGAGAGAGGAGGGAGGAGAGAGGGUUGCAUUGGGAAAGGGAAGGGCUGAUUUGGGGGGGAGAAAAAAAAGGAAAAAAGGUGGGUAGCAGAGAAAUGGGAUGGGUUUAACGGAGCCAUCCAUUAUCUCUCUUCUCCAUCAGAUUUGGUACGGAUCUAAAAGUAAAUCUGAUGGAGGAGAACUUAUGAGUAGUGCAGGUACUAUACUUAUAAGAGUAUAGUAGCUGCACUCUCUCUCUCUCCAUAUAUAUAUCAGUCCGGCUACUAUACUAUCGAUAGUACGAAGCGCUUGAUGCUAUCAAGUUUUCGGCCGUUAGAUCUAUCCCUUUGACCAUUUUCAUCUGUUAGAUCAUACUAUUCAACCAACCACCCACUCAACCCUAGAGAACCAGUAUCAUCAUAACCGCACAUCUCUUCAUCCAAGGGCUGAAAACCUAAUAGUACCAAACGCUUGGUACUAUUAAUAAUAUAGUAACCUAAUUAUAUAUAUACGAAGGGCUCUAUACUCAUAAGAGUAUAGUAGCCCUACUAUAUAUAUAUAUGUAAUAUAUUUAAAAAGAAUCUAAUAUUUAGUCGUUAUAUAGCCCCAAAAUCAACAGUAUUAGAAAGGACCAUUGUUCAAUUUAUAAAAAGUUACUAUCCAAAAUUUUGUAGUAUUUUAUAUAAUAUGUUUUCUAGUGCCAUAUAAUACAUGAUGUAUUUUACAUUUUAUAAAUUAGUUCGAAAAUUUUGUUCUGUUGUGUUCAGUGAAUAAGAUUUACUUAUGAACUUGGUUUAGGUAAUAUGUUUUUGGUUCAUGCACCAAAUUUGUAGGGCAUAUAAUUAGAAUUUAUUUACUAUUUUAAAAUAUUAUAAUAUUUUAUACAUAAUAUAUUAUAGAAUAUUAUAUUUAAAAAAUAAUAUUUACUGUUGUUCUUGCCGUGUCUAUGUCCUAAUCUUUUGAAAUUUCCCGAGUCACCAUGUUCGAGUUGUGUCGUAUCUCGUGUUCUCUGUGUCCGUGUCUGUAUUCAUGUAACAUAAUGUGGCAGUCCUUUAACAACAUGACUGGAAAGUGCUAUUGAUGGGUCAUGCAUCAAAUACCAUGUUACCCAAUUGCGUUGGUGUCUUAUUGUUAACCUCUGCUUGUAUCUCAACAACAGCAUACGAUGGUUUAUGGUGAGUAGCCUAAUGUUCUAAGAGACAUUUUUGUAUUUUCCACUUUUGUACAUAGUGAUGUUAGUAGCAAUCUGGUUCUUUCCAAAUUAAUAUAAGUUUCCAAAUUAAUACGAGUUUAGUCAGCCGAUGGACUAAGCUUAUUUAUCUCUCCGACGGACUAAUGUUCCCAUUAAAAGCUUUAUGUUUCAAACUACUGCGAAUUUAGUCAGAGGUGCCCCAUUCGCAUUUCAUCAUUAGGAUGAUAAAGAGGUUUUGGAGUGUGCUCUAACUACUCGCUAACUUGUUGAGUUUUGACCCUUUUCAUGUUGUACAAGAGCUGCUGAAAAGUGCUGUAACUAGCUUCUUUGUUGUGAUAUGCAGAUAUUUGCUGUUUACAUCAACUUUCUGAAGAAUUAGGAUUACGUUUUGUCUCAUUUUAACUCUGUUUCCUAAAUCUGAUUUCAAGUUUGACAUGAGCUCUCCCGGUAGAUUUGCUGGCAACAAGUGCUGCAGUUACACACUGUUAAGUCCCUGUUUUUAUCUUUUCUUGGGAAUAGAUUGCGUCAUGCAAAUUUGUUGCUACAAUUGUUUCUUCAUUGCAAAAGUAUUCUGGAAAAAGGAAAGGCGGUAUUAAGCCCUACUUAUCCCUCAAUUUCUGAACCCCGGGGGGUCUUUGCUCCUUCUUUGUAGUUUUUAUUUGUAAUGGAAAAUCCAUGUUGAAUUUAUUUCUGUAAAAAAAAAAAAAAGGAUUAAGGUUUAGACAACUAUUGCUUUAUAUUCAGAACUCCAUCUACUGUUUUGAAGAAGCAUACCAGGCCUGUGAUUUUGAGGUUUGUGAUAUUAUUGCAUGGUGUAACGUUGCAAGAGAGAGUUCAUAUUCCCUGACAAAGAAACUCCAUCGCAUGUUUCCUUAGCUUGAAGCUUCUACUACAAAGAGAGCAGGAGAUCCCAGUGAGGAUCCUCAUCGCAUGUAAAUACCAAAAGUUAAGUGACUGAUGUAUUAUCAAGUAUCAAAUUUAGAUGUUCCAAAUGUCUUUGUUGACGAAAAAAUAAAAAAAUAAAAAAAUAAAAUCCUUUAUUGAUCAAAAGGUAAAGAAUUACAAUGGUAGGGACCUCAAGCAUUUUGGCCUGAGUUUUCUGCUGGGAGUUGCUCUUUUAAAACGCAUUAUGUUCGGCUGCUUGCUUUGGACCGAACUUGAUGGAUGAAUUCAAAUGGUCUCUUAGCUGUUACCGAAGAAAUUCAAGAACUCGCGGUUUUAACCUCAGUCUCAAGAAUGGCUGAAACAUCAAGAUGAUAUGCUACCGAAACUAUUGUUACUGAAACUACUACUAAAACUAUCGAAAAACUACUACCAUCGGAAGUUAUUAAAGCUACAUCUACAUACAUGUUGUUGUAUUAAAGACAGUGCCACUUUCUUUGGUCCCCUGCGCCAUAUUUAUAGUCUCCACAAUCCUAAUCAGAAUUCGAGCUUAUUUAGAAACAGAAUCCCGAGAAUUUCGUCAGAAUCCUAAAAUUCCGGAAUGGUUAUCUCCUGCCAAAUUUCAAAUGGCUAAGAUCGUUCAUUGCUCCUUUAAUCCCAUGGCCAAAAUUUAGUGUCCACAGUUUCAACAUGAAAUUGCAAUGUCUGCAACCAUUUUUAGUCCAAAAGGGCACCGUAUUUUUUGUAGGAGUCUAAUUAUUUAUGUAUUUACGUGAUUAGCGUUAUUGCCAAUUAUACUUUAUUUGUACAUGGUCUAGUUUAACACAACCUAUACUAUAAGGUGUUUUUGGUAAUUGUUUUCACUAUAUAUUCAAUAACAAUACUAAGAGAGGGUCUUUACGAUUUUAUCUAAUCUUUCAUAGUAUCAGAACCACAAAGUCUUUAGAAAAAAUCAACAUGAGUCAUGAUCCUUCUUUCUUUCUUGCCACAGUAGCACUGUGUCAUUCUUUCACUAUUUAUUACGACAAUCUCAGUACAACAAUACAUUGCAACCAAUACGGUAUUACAUGCACGGAUAAAUCAUAUUAAACUAGACCAUUAUUUUUUGCAUGAUAUGAGAAAGUACAAUAGGUGAUCUCUCUUUAAUUCACAUUCCUUCCAAUAAAAAUUGGCUGAUAUCUCACAAAGCCUUUAUCUACUGCUCUUUAGCGUGUUGUAUCAAUCUCACAUUCAGUCUUGGGAUACUUAGAUUGCGGGAAAUGAUAGAGUCUAAUCAUUUAUACAUUUAUGUGAUAAGUACUGUUGCUAGUUGUACUUGUACAGGAUCUUGUUUAACAAUAUAAGGUGUUUUUCGUAAUUGUGUUCACUAUAUAUUCAAUGAAAAUUCUAGAAGAGGAUUUUACAGUUUUAUCUAAUCUUUUUUUUAUUUAAAUCAGAAAAUAAUUUAAAACUGAAGAAAAUUCAAAAGAAUCCCAUUUGAGAAAACUUAAAUAUAUUAAACUUCCAAACAUUGAAGAAUAGUGAAAGAUUAAGGUGUUGUUUGGUUGCAAGAAAAAGAGCCCAAAAAAUGGGCCCUUUUUGCAAUUGACCCCCUGAAAAAAAAUUAAUUUUAAAAAUAGCUCCAGUAAAUUUAUAUUUACAAAAAUGGCCCUGUCCUUGCUAUGCAAGCCACGUCAGUGCCACACGAACAGGGCUGGAGCCAGGUGGUUAAGUUGAACACGGUGAAUCGUUCUCCGUGUUUACUGUGUGCCUUACAGCAUAGGACUUAGGACUUGGGGACUUGGACUUGGGUGUGGGUAAUACAUUAACACGGGAAACUGUUCACCGUGUCUAGACACGGUGAACAUUUCCCUGUGUUCAGUAGAGGUACAACACACUUACAAUUAAUUUUGCACAAUAAACCACUGAAAUACAACAUCAACAACACAACAACAAAUUCAAUACAACAACACAAGAAAUUCAAGAUUAAUAAUACAAUAACAAAUCCAACACAAUAAUAAAUCCAACAGAAGAUCAAUAGAACAUCGAUACCAUAUCAUCACAACAGAAUAUCAAAAAUUAAAGCAAGUUUUUCAAUAAUAUAGAAAGUUCGGUGUAAUUUAAAAUUUACAAAAAUAUAAUGUCAUGUUCUUCUCCUAAUCCCUCGACCACGUCUACCUGCACGUCUCCUACCACGACCGCGACCACGAUCAACACUAUGCUCAUCAAAGGGCUCUAUGACCUCCAACUGGUCGAGAUGUUUGAUAGUAGCACCCUCAAUAACUGUCUGAGUGUCCUGCGUCUCGAUCACCCGUUUGAUCUUGUGCUCAAUCAUAGCAGGUGUCGGUAGUAUGUCUGGCCGUGGAGGAGCUGAAGAGGAGGGUUGAUCUAUAUGGAAAGAAUGCAAUUGUCGUCGGUGCCUACGAUAAACAAUAUCGACUGGUCGAGGUGGAUCCUCUGGUACUGGUGCUGGUACUGUAUCUGGAUGAUAAGGUGGCUCCUCUAUCGAUGAAGAUGGCCUCGGUGGACUAUACAAUGGUACAUGGCCCGACGUCGAUGGUCCACCUGUUCUGUUAGCCGUGGAGGUACAGUGUGUGGAAGUGUAGGUAAAGUCUCCAAAACUGCUUCUAUUUGAUCGGCAACUUGUGAUAGGGCGUCUAAUACUCCACCAUAUGGAAUAUCUGGCAGGACACAUCUAAUCGUAUAAUAUGAUCUCUGCAUGAUAUCGACCUGAAAUAAAAACAUCAUCAUAAAGAUUACACUAAACUUUCUUUAUAUAUAAAAAUAAAUAUAAAGAGAUAUUAUAUAUUAAAAUCAUACCAAUACUCUCUCGACGUAAUCAUGUGGCUGAUACGCGAGGGGUGGCCGCUGUACUAGCCUAGAUAUCCACCUCCUGGUGAUCCUCCAAUACCACUGCAUGUAAGCAGUGAUAGCUCCUAUAGGAUCUGGAUUUACCUCAAGGUUCAUCUCUAGUAUAUCCAUCAAUCUAUCAUCCCAAUGCUGAAUAUAUGAAGCAUGAUACGCCGCCCAAUUCUCAUCUGCUCUACCCGUGAAGUGAUGCGAGAUAUGGCAACCACUGCUUCAGGUAUAUGUUGUAACAGACCAAACUGUCGAAGCACACGAGCACACGAUCUGGAAGAUGCAGCUUAAUAAUGUGGAAGCAGAUUAAGGUGGUCCUAGAUCGCCAAACCUGGGACCCCGCUAGACAAAAAGGUGGGAGCGUCUCCAAUGCUCUAUUUGUAUAAGUCCUCCAUAUAAUCUAUUAUGAAAAAUACAUAUGGUUGCUUAUCCAAAUGUUUAAAAUAUAAUGUGCAAUUAUAAUAAGAUUGAGUUACUUUCAUUUACUUGAGACUCUGGCUGUUGAUCAAGCUGAUCAUGAUAAAACUCAAUGUCAGUAGUCAUGACAUUCUCUUGAAAAGCCAGCCUAGUAUUCCACUUUAUUCAUUUAUAUCAUAUUAGUCACGAUUAAAUAGUAUAUAGAAAUAUUAAAAUAAAAAAAUACUUACAUACACCCUAGUGGCAUGUCGACAAGCUCAAGCUGCGGUCCAACUAUCUUAGGGCGGCCAAUGUGCAGGUGGUCCCAUGCCCAUAUCUAUACAAAAAGAUAGUUAGAAAUUACAACAAAAAUCAUGACUUAUAUAAUGCUAGUAAGGCAAUGUACCUGAAGUAAUGUCCUAAAACAACAGCACUCUACGUUCCCCCUCAUGCAAGCAUUUCCUAAUGCCCGACAGAGAUGACCUAGCGCAGCUGCACCCCAUGCCAACUCACCGCAGACGUCAAAAUUCUCUAACAGUGGCAACCAUUUCAAAUGCACUCUAUUCCCGCUUGGAUUUGGCACUACAAUAAGGAUUGAUCUAGCUGUAGGUGCCGCAAUCGCGAUACAUAAUAAAAUCCUACACGUCGCAAUAGGUCCAAAACUGUAGGACGCUCAAUUUGCCAUCGGUUCAUUUUAUGGCCAUGCUCCGUGAAUUGAACAGGAGAAUAACCCCGCAUGAUUGUGAAUGUAGAUCAAUAUUAGUACAUAGUUUAUAAGUAAAUAUGAAAAAAACAUCACCUCCUCUCUAAUCAAAGUGGAUCUAUGGUGUGGCUGCUCAGUCAGUACGGAUGUAUUGAUCGGUCCCGACUCCUCGUAAUCGUCCAUAUGAAAUAGUCAAAUAAAAUUAGUGAGAAACAAAAGGAUGAAACAUAAGUGCAUAAGCAUAAAAUAAAAAGAAAGUUAAGUGUAAUUUUCAUAUAAAAAAACCAAGCGACGACGUCUCUCGGUCCUUUGCUGAUUUUCAAGAUAUGUGCUUUUAUAAUGACCAGGCUGUUUACACAUACUACACUUGCCCCUUCUAUUCCCAGCGCUUUCGUCCAUAACAUUACAGAUACGCGUAGAUUUGGGUCGUUCCUUUUUCCUUCUCCCGCGUGGUGGAAGUAUAGGUGAAUCAUAUGAUUCGAUCCAAUAACGACGAUCGGGAACGGGGUGGAACUGUGGUUUAUAAGUCUUACGAUAGGAUACGGCAGUAUACCAAGGAGAACAUAAACCAUAAUAAUCUAUGUUCAUGUGUGAAGAACUACAACAUGACAAAAUAUGUGAGCAAGGGAUUCCUAUGAGUUGCAAACACAAACAUGAAUAAGUAGAAGCUCUUCCAUUGAUAAUCACUUGGUAUUAAUCGUCCCCGCUAGUAAGUACGUCGAACUCGUGAGCUCCAAAUCGUCGAACUGUAUAUGCUCUAACACAUUUCAUUCGGCUAUUGAUGGUGUUUUUAACAGUCGAUACAAAUUGUAUAGACAUUGCAGCGCCCUCUGCACGAUGUUUUAGGAAAAAUUUUACCACUCGAUGAAACAUUGCCAUCACAAAAGUUGUAAUCGGUAAGGCACGAACUGCACUCAACACCCCAUUUAAACUUUUCGAUCGGUUCGUUCUCAUAAUACUGAAUCGACGACCACCAUCAAAAGCUUUAGCCCAGUAUGUCCUAUCGACAUGAAUAUUGUCAACCCAAAACCAAGUUUCUUCAUCCAUAGCCUUUAAUUCUUUCUUUAAUGCAUAAUAUUCUCAUUCUUCUGAAGAUUCCCAAUUCUCCAAAACAUCUUAAGUAAGUGUUUUGCUUUGAAAUGAAUAUUCAUAUUGGCCUUCAUAUAUCGCAAACACCAUCGAUGAGCAUGACCUUCUGAUGGUGGGAAUACAAGUGCAACGAGAUUCGCUAGCCCUUUAAAAUGAUCUGAAAUGAGUGGAAUAACUCGAGAUCAUGUUAUAUACCUUCUUAGGCAACUUAGAAACCACUCCCAACUUAAGUCAUUCUCCCCCUCACAAAUUACAAACGCUAGCGAAAAUAAACCACUAUUGGCAUUGGCACCUGUGGCAAUUAAUACGUGGCCUUCGUAUUUUCCAUACAAAUAGAUAACAUCGAUACUAAGUAAUGGGCGCAAUACUCCCAACCAUGAAUCGACCGUCCAAAAGCCCAAAAGGCUAAUGAAAAUAUCUUGUAGUGCUCGUCACCCUAAUAAAAUCAAUCUUCGUAAUAGUUUUAGGAUUUGUUGCUUCCGACAUAGAGAAGUAUCAAGGAAGGUCGCAAUAUGAUUGCUCCCAACUACCGUAUAUAAUUUGUAGUGCUUUAUUCUGGGCCCGCCAAGCUUUGCUAUAUGAUAUACUAAUGUGCAUCUCACUCUGAACUCGAGAUUGAAUUUUCAUAGGACUCAUAGUAAGCCUUGCCUUCAGUGUAGGUAGUAUAAAUUGACAUAUAAAAGAGGAUGUACAGUUUCGAUGCGUUGUAUUCAGAAUUGGAAUCAUACAUGUGUGCGGAUGUCUAUAAGGUUUUACUUUAAAAAAUGAACUACUUUUCGGUUGAGAGGCAUGUAAUCUCCAUGGCAAGAAUCGACCACACAUCUCACAAUGUAUCUAGUUGUAUUUGACUUAAUAACUUGGGGCAAUUGCUUAUAUACCCCUGAAAAGUUUCUGACUUUCCAAUUUACCUUUCUUAGAAGGCUAAUAUUGAAAAUACCCUAUUUACGUUCCAACCUAUUUCUAAUAUACCCCUAGAGUUAAAAUCUAUUAAUUAAUUCUGUUAACUCUGUAAAAUUACUAUUUUGCCCUUUCAAAUAUACCCUUCCAUCAUCACUGGCUUUCUUAUUUGCCCCUAAAGUCAGGGGCACAAAAAGUAUUUUAACUUUUGAUCUUUUCCAAUAUACCCCUCUACCGUCACCAACAUUUCUUAUUUGNNNNNNNNNNNNNNNNNNNNNNNNNNNNNNNNNNNNNNNNNNNNNNNNNNNNNNNNNNNNNNNNNNNNNNNNNNNNNNNNNNNNNNNNNNNNNNNNNNNNCUUCAUUGCAAAAGUAUUCUGGAAAAAGGAAAGGCGGUAUUAAGCCCUACUUAUCCCUCAAUUUCUGAACCCCGGGGGGUCUUUGCUCCUUCUUUGUAGUUUUUAUUUGUAAUGGAAAAUCCAUGUUGAAUUUAUUUCUGUAAAAAAAAAAAAAAGGAUUAAGGUUUAGACAACUAUUGCUUUAUAUUCAGAACUCCAUCUACUGUUUUGAAGAAGCAUACCAGGCCUGUGAUUUUGAGGUUUGUGAUAUUAUUGCAUGGUGUAACGUUGCAAGAGAGAGUUCAUAUUCCCUGACAAAGAAACUCCAUCGCAUGUUUCCUUAGCUUGAAGCUUCUACUACAAAGAGAGCAGGAGAUCCCAGUGAGGAUCCUCAUCGCAUGUAAAUACCAAAAGUUAAGUGACUGAUGUAUUAUCAAGUAUCAAAUUUAGAUGUUCCAAAUGUCUUUGUUGACGAAAAAAUAAAAAAAUAAAAAAAUAAAAUCCUUUAUUGAUCAAAAGGUAAAGAAUUACAAUGGUAGGGACCUCAAGCAUUUUGGCCUGAGUUUUCUGCUGGGAGUUGCUCUUUUAAAACGCAUUAUGUUCGGCUGCUUGCUUUGGACCGAACUUGAUGGAUGAAUUCAAAUGGUCUCUUAGCUGUUACCGAAGAAAUUCAAGAACUCGCGGUUUUAACCUCAGUCUCAAGAAUGGCUGAAACAUCAAGAUGAUAUGCUACCGAAACUAUUGUUACUGAAACUACUACUAAAACUAUCGAAAAACUACUACCAUCGGAAGUUAUUAAAGCUACAUCUACAUACAUGUUGUUGUAUUAAAGACAGUGCCACUUUCUUUGGUCCCCUGCGCCAUAUUUAUAGUCUCCACAAUCCUAAUCAGAAUUCGAGCUUAUUUAGAAACAGAAUCCCGAGAAUUUCGUCAGAAUCCUAAAAUUCCGGAAUGGUUAUCUCCUGCCAAAUUUCAAAUGGCUAAGAUCGUUCAUUGCUCCUUUAAUCCCAUGGCCAAAAUUUAGUGUCCACAGUUUCAACAUGAAAUUGCAAUGUCUGCAACCAUUUUUAGUCCAAAAGGGCACCGUAUUUUUUGUAGGAGUCUAAUUAUUUAUGUAUUUACGUGAUUAGCGUUAUUGCCAAUUAUACUUUAUUUGUACAUGGUCUAGUUUAACACAACCUAUACUAUAAGGUGUUUUUGGUAAUUGUUUUCACUAUAUAUUCAAUAACAAUACUAAGAGAGGGUCUUUACGAUUUUAUCUAAUCUUUCAUAGUAUCAGAACCACAAAGUCUUUAGAAAAAAUCAACAUGAGUCAUGAUCCUUCUUUCUUUCUUGCCACAGUAGCACUGUGUCAUUCUUUCACUAUUUAUUACGACAAUCUCAGUACAACAAUACAUUGCAACCAAUACGGUAUUACAUGCACGGAUAAAUCAUAUUAAACUAGACCAUUAUUUUUUGCAUGAUAUGAGAAAGUACAAUAGGUGAUCUCUCUUUAAUUCACAUUCCUUCCAAUAAAAAUUGGCUGAUAUCUCACAAAGCCUUUAUCUACUGCUCUUUAGCGUGUUGUAUCAAUCUCACAUUCAGUCUUGGGAUACUUAGAUUGCGGGAAAUGAUAGAGUCUAAUCAUUUAUACAUUUAUGUGAUAAGUACUGUUGCUAGUUGUACUUGUACAGGAUCUUGUUUAACAAUAUAAGGUGUUUUUCGUAAUUGUGUUCACUAUAUAUUCAAUGAAAAUUCUAGAAGAGGAUUUUACAGUUUUAUCUAAUCUUUUUUUUAUUUAAAUCAGAAAAUAAUUUAAAACUGAAGAAAAUUCAAAAGAAUCCCAUUUGAGAAAACUUAAAUAUAUUAAACUUCCAAACAUUGAAGAAUAGUGAAAGAUUAAGGUGUUGUUUGGUUGCAAGAAAAAGAGCCCAAAAAAUGGGCCCUUUUUGCAAUUGACCCCCUGAAAAAAAAUUAAUUUUAAAAAUAGCUCCAGUAAAUUUAUAUUUACAAAAAUGGCCCUGUCCUUGCUAUGCAAGCCACGUCAGUGCCACACGAACAGGGCUGGAGCCAGGUGGUUAAGUUGAACACGGUGAAUCGUUCUCCGUGUUUACUGUGUGCCUUACAGCAUAGGACUUAGGACUUGGGGACUUGGACUUGGGUGUGGGUAAUACAUUAACACGGGAAACUGUUCACCGUGUCUAGACACGGUGAACAUUUCCCUGUGUUCAGUAGAGGUACAACACACUUACAAUUAAUUUUGCACAAUAAACCACUGAAAUACAACAUCAACAACACAACAACAAAUUCAAUACAACAACACAAGAAAUUCAAGAUUAAUAAUACAAUAACAAAUCCAACACAAUAAUAAAUCCAACAGAAGAUCAAUAGAACAUCGAUACCAUAUCAUCACAACAGAAUAUCAAAAAUUAAAGCAAGUUUUUCAAUAAUAUAGAAAGUUCGGUGUAAUUUAAAAUUUACAAAAAUAUAAUGUCAUGUUCUUCUCCUAAUCCCUCGACCACGUCUACCUGCACGUCUCCUACCACGACCGCGACCACGAUCAACACUAUGCUCAUCAAAGGGCUCUAUGACCUCCAACUGGUCGAGAUGUUUGAUAGUAGCACCCUCAAUAACUGUCUGAGUGUCCUGCGUCUCGAUCACCCGUUUGAUCUUGUGCUCAAUCAUAGCAGGUGUCGGUAGUAUGUCUGGCCGUGGAGGAGCUGAAGAGGAGGGUUGAUCUAUAUGGAAAGAAUGCAAUUGUCGUCGGUGCCUACGAUAAACAAUAUCGACUGGUCGAGGUGGAUCCUCUGGUACUGGUGCUGGUACUGUAUCUGGAUGAUAAGGUGGCUCCUCUAUCGAUGAAGAUGGCCUCGGUGGACUAUACAAUGGUACAUGGCCCGACGUCGAUGGUCCACCUGUUCUGUUAGCCGUGGAGGUACAGUGUGUGGAAGUGUAGGUAAAGUCUCCAAAACUGCUUCUAUUUGAUCGGCAACUUGUGAUAGGGCGUCUAAUACUCCACCAUAUGGAAUAUCUGGCAGGACACAUCUAAUCGUAUAAUAUGAUCUCUGCAUGAUAUCGACCUGAAAUAAAAACAUCAUCAUAAAGAUUACACUAAACUUUCUUUAUAUAUAAAAAUAAAUAUAAAGAGAUAUUAUAUAUUAAAAUCAUACCAAUACUCUCUCGACGUAAUCAUGUGGCUGAUACGCGAGGGGUGGCCGCUGUACUAGCCUAGAUAUCCACCUCCUGGUGAUCCUCCAAUACCACUGCAUGUAAGCAGUGAUAGCUCCUAUAGGAUCUGGAUUUACCUCAAGGUUCAUCUCUAGUAUAUCCAUCAAUCUAUCAUCCCAAUGCUGAAUAUAUGAAGCAUGAUACGCCGCCCAAUUCUCAUCUGCUCUACCCGUGAAGUGAUGCGAGAUAUGGCAACCACUGCUUCAGGUAUAUGUUGUAACAGACCAAACUGUCGAAGCACACGAGCACACGAUCUGGAAGAUGCAGCUUAAUAAUGUGGAAGCAGAUUAAGGUGGUCCUAGAUCGCCAAACCUGGGACCCCGCUAGACAAAAAGGUGGGAGCGUCUCCAAUGCUCUAUUUGUAUAAGUCCUCCAUAUAAUCUAUUAUGAAAAAUACAUAUGGUUGCUUAUCCAAAUGUUUAAAAUAUAAUGUGCAAUUAUAAUAAGAUUGAGUUACUUUCAUUUACUUGAGACUCUGGCUGUUGAUCAAGCUGAUCAUGAUAAAACUCAAUGUCAGUAGUCAUGACAUUCUCUUGAAAAGCCAGCCUAGUAUUCCACUUUAUUCAUUUAUAUCAUAUUAGUCACGAUUAAAUAGUAUAUAGAAAUAUUAAAAUAAAAAAAUACUUACAUACACCCUAGUGGCAUGUCGACAAGCUCAAGCUGCGGUCCAACUAUCUUAGGGCGGCCAAUGUGCAGGUGGUCCCAUGCCCAUAUCUAUACAAAAAGAUAGUUAGAAAUUACAACAAAAAUCAUGACUUAUAUAAUGCUAGUAAGGCAAUGUACCUGAAGUAAUGUCCUAAAACAACAGCACUCUACGUUCCCCCUCAUGCAAGCAUUUCCUAAUGCCCGACAGAGAUGACCUAGCGCAGCUGCACCCCAUGCCAACUCACCGCAGACGUCAAAAUUCUCUAACAGUGGCAACCAUUUCAAAUGCACUCUAUUCCCGCUUGGAUUUGGCACUACAAUAAGGAUUGAUCUAGCUGUAGGUGCCGCAAUCGCGAUACAUAAUAAAAUCCUACACGUCGCAAUAGGUCCAAAACUGUAGGACGCUCAAUUUGCCAUCGGUUCAUUUUAUGGCCAUGCUCCGUGAAUUGAACAGGAGAAUAACCCCGCAUGAUUGUGAAUGUAGAUCAAUAUUAGUACAUAGUUUAUAAGUAAAUAUGAAAAAAACAUCACCUCCUCUCUAAUCAAAGUGGAUCUAUGGUGUGGCUGCUCAGUCAGUACGGAUGUAUUGAUCGGUCCCGACUCCUCGUAAUCGUCCAUAUGAAAUAGUCAAAUAAAAUUAGUGAGAAACAAAAGGAUGAAACAUAAGUGCAUAAGCAUAAAAUAAAAAGAAAGUUAAGUGUAAUUUUCAUAUAAAAAAACCAAGCGACGACGUCUCUCGGUCCUUUGCUGAUUUUCAAGAUAUGUGCUUUUAUAAUGACCAGGCUGUUUACACAUACUACACUUGCCCCUUCUAUUCCCAGCGCUUUCGUCCAUAACAUUACAGAUACGCGUAGAUUUGGGUCGUUCCUUUUUCCUUCUCCCGCGUGGUGGAAGUAUAGGUGAAUCAUAUGAUUCGAUCCAAUAACGACGAUCGGGAACGGGGUGGAACUGUGGUUUAUAAGUCUUACGAUAGGAUACGGCAGUAUACCAAGGAGAACAUAAACCAUAAUAAUCUAUGUUCAUGUGUGAAGAACUACAACAUGACAAAAUAUGUGAGCAAGGGAUUCCUAUGAGUUGCAAACACAAACAUGAAUAAGUAGAAGCUCUUCCAUUGAUAAUCACUUGGUAUUAAUCGUCCCCGCUAGUAAGUACGUCGAACUCGUGAGCUCCAAAUCGUCGAACUGUAUAUGCUCUAACACAUUUCAUUCGGCUAUUGAUGGUGUUUUUAACAGUCGAUACAAAUUGUAUAGACAUUGCAGCGCCCUCUGCACGAUGUUUUAGGAAAAAUUUUACCACUCGAUGAAACAUUGCCAUCACAAAAGUUGUAAUCGGUAAGGCACGAACUGCACUCAACACCCCAUUUAAACUUUUCGAUCGGUUCGUUCUCAUAAUACUGAAUCGACGACCACCAUCAAAAGCUUUAGCCCAGUAUGUCCUAUCGACAUGAAUAUUGUCAACCCAAAACCAAGUUUCUUCAUCCAUAGCCUUUAAUUCUUUCUUUAAUGCAUAAUAUUCUCAUUCUUCUGAAGAUUCCCAAUUCUCCAAAACAUCUUAAGUAAGUGUUUUGCUUUGAAAUGAAUAUUCAUAUUGGCCUUCAUAUAUCGCAAACACCAUCGAUGAGCAUGACCUUCUGAUGGUGGGAAUACAAGUGCAACGAGAUUCGCUAGCCCUUUAAAAUGAUCUGAAAUGAGUGGAAUAACUCGAGAUCAUGUUAUAUACCUUCUUAGGCAACUUAGAAACCACUCCCAACUUAAGUCAUUCUCCCCCUCACAAAUUACAAACGCUAGCGAAAAUAAACCACUAUUGGCAUUGGCACCUGUGGCAAUUAAUACGUGGCCUUCGUAUUUUCCAUACAAAUAGAUAACAUCGAUACUAAGUAAUGGGCGCAAUACUCCCAACCAUGAAUCGACCGUCCAAAAGCCCAAAAGGCUAAUGAAAAUAUCUUGUAGUGCUCGUCACCCUAAUAAAAUCAAUCUUCGUAAUAGUUUUAGGAUUUGUUGCUUCCGACAUAGAGAAGUAUCAAGGAAGGUCGCAAUAUGAUUGCUCCCAACUACCGUAUAUAAUUUGUAGUGCUUUAUUCUGGGCCCGCCAAGCUUUGCUAUAUGAUAUACUAAUGUGCAUCUCACUCUGAACUCGAGAUUGAAUUUUCAUAGGACUCAUAGUAAGCCUUGCCUUCAGUGUAGGUAGUAUAAAUUGACAUAUAAAAGAGGAUGUACAGUUUCGAUGCGUUGUAUUCAGAAUUGGAAUCAUACAUGUGUGCGGAUGUCUAUAAGGUUUUACUUUAAAAAAUGAACUACUUUUCGGUUGAGAGGCAUGUAAUCUCCAUGGCAAGAAUCGACCACACAUCUCACAAUGUAUCUAGUUGUAUUUGACUUAAUAACUUGGGGCAAUUGCUUAUAUACCCCUGAAAAGUUUCUGACUUUCCAAUUUACCUUUCUUAGAAGGCUAAUAUUGAAAAUACCCUAUUUACGUUCCAACCUAUUUCUAAUAUACCCCUAGAGUUAAAAUCUAUUAAUUAAUUCUGUUAACUCUGUAAAAUUACUAUUUUGCCCUUUCAAAUAUACCCUUCCAUCAUCACUGGCUUUCUUAUUUGCCCCUAAAGUCAGGGGCACAAAAAGUAUUUUAACUUUUGAUCUUUUCCAAUAUACCCCUCUACCGUCACCAACAUUUCUUAUUUGCCUUUAAGUUAAGGGCAAAAUUGGCAUUUUAAUUUUUUUUAACUGUGGUAGAUGUUUAACUCAUAUUUAACCCAAGUUAACUUAACAGGAGAUAACUAUAGGGGUAUUUUGUAAUAACGGUGGAACAUAUGAGGGGUAUUUUAGAAAGAAAAAAAAAAGUAGGGGUAAAUCGGAUAUUUUCAAACAUAUGAGGGGUAUAUAGGCAAUUAUCCCUAAUAACUUUAAGAUGCAGAUUAUGUGCAAUGUGCCAAGCUUCCAAAGCAUUCUCCAAGGAUGAUUUGUCAGAAAAUGUUCGAUUAGCCUAUGCCUCAUCACUUGCAGGACCCUGAUCAAUAUUUUGUUCAGUAUAUGGAUCAACAAUGGUUUGAUGAAUUAAUUCAUCACCCAAGAGAAACCGUUGUCGUUGAUCUUCAAAUUUCUCGAAUUCCACCGGAUCCGGUACAUCAUCGUUGUUGACAUUUGAAUUUUCAAUCCAUUCAACACCUUCAUCUCGAAUGGCACAUGCGAGUGCAUUCAAACCACCGUCAUGAUCAUGAUCCAAAGAAUGCAGAACAAAGGAUUCCUCAUCAUCACUAGAAUCAACAUCAAUUCGCCUUUGAUCCUCUUCAUCACUUUCAAUAAUAUACUCCUUAUCACUUCUAAUUACGUCAUCAUUAUCAAUUGUAGUUCUCACUUUCCAAUUGGUCCAUUCAUGAACACUAGAUGAUGGACCUUCACUUUGAUUAUGAUGGAUAGUAAACCUGCAAAGAUUUUUAAGAUUAACUAUUCGCAUUGGUCCAAUUUUCAUAUAACUAAAUCAUAGAAUCACCUACCGCUCAUUUUGACAAACCAACGAAGACAAAUCCAUCAUAGUAGACGGCAAUGGUGCACUAACUGGCAUACAUGAGACUCCAAACUCUCUGUAACACUUACAAGACAAAGUUAUUAAUUUCGCACACCAAACUAAUUGAGGAAUUAUGAAAAAUAUUUAUAAAGAUCAUUACUCUAUACCUUGAUGUACGACCUCGUUCGCGAUUGACGUAAUUCUUUUGAUAAUCACUACUACACAUUUUCGUAUAAUUAACGGUACUUGGACGGUCUUGUGUCGUCAACACAUAUUUCUCCACGAAUAAUUUUAUACAUCCAUGGAACGGAAAAAAAUUCAUCACACCAGAUAGUGCAUUGUCACUUGAUAUGUUAACUAAUUCCUAUUCGUUGGCUCCCAUUGGAGAUUGAACCGUUAUGCAAAGACGGUCUUCCACUCGAUCAUAGUUAGUAACAUUGUAUAUUUCCAUCUCAAAUUUCCAAAAUAUAAUAUCACGUCGGAAAGCAACCAAUUCUUUACGGCCACCAAUAUAUCAUGGUACAUUAUUGUUCACGACUAAAUUUUCGUCCCAAUAGAUAUAGAAAGGAACACAUUCGCCGAAUAUAGAGUUCUAAAGUAAUAUAAUAAAAUGUACAAAAUUAUUACACUUAUGACAUAUUAACAUAGCACAUUUCUAACAUACAACAAAGGAGAGGGUGAGAGAUGGAAUUACCAUUUUGCGAUCACGGUCGGCGCCAACUUCUAUGCCGAUCAAGAGCUCUGGAGGCAAGGGAGUGAUGACAGAGAGAGAGAGAGAUUUGUGAGAGAGACAGAGAGAGUGAUCAGUGAGAGAAAAUUGUGAGAGGGAGAGGGAAGGGGUCAGAGAGAAAGAGAUGGGGGUUUUGUGAGGGGGACACAGUGAGAGGAAGAGGGAGAGGGGUUCUGUAAGGGAGGGGGCACAGUGAAAGGAAGAGACAGGUGGGGGGUUCUAGGGUUAGAGAGAGAAUGAGGGAUGGGGGGUUCUCGGGUGAGAGAGGGCGGUAGCGGCGGCGGCGGCUGGGUGGGCCACAAAAAGAGAAAGAGAGAGAGAGGUAGGGGGUACUAAAUUAGAGAGAGAAUGAGGAUGGGGAAACAGGUCGGGUGAGAGAGGCCGGUGGCAGUGGGGCGGGGUAGGCCACGGAGAGAGAGAGAGGGCGGCGUCGAGGUGGGCUAUAUAGAGAGAGAGCUAGAGAGAGAGAGAGAGAGAUUGAGCGAAAGAGGAGGGUGGGAGCUCGAGCGGGGUAGUAAUAUAAAAAGAACACGGUGAAUGGUUCACCAUGUUUGGACACGAUGAACUAUUCACCGUGUCUAUACACGAUGAACGAUUUAUUGGCCCUUUCGAAGUUUUGGAGCGGGUCAGGUCUAUGGCUUAUAGGAUUGCACUACCGCCGCGACUUGCAGGGAUUCACAACGUUUUCCACAUCUCGGCAUUGAGAAGAUAUGUUUUUGAUGCUUUACACAUGAUUGACUUCACUCUGCUUGAGUUGGGCAAGAACCUAAGGCACAAGGAUAGACCAAUGUGGAUUUUUGCUCGUGAGACAUUGGGUCAUACCGUACGUGAAGGUACGUUAGAGUAAUCACGAGGAGCGUGAAGCGACUUUGGAGCCAGUGAUGGUGAUGCGGUACUCCUACCCCUACUUUUUUUAGAGUUCUUCUUGACGUAUGAGUUUAAAUUUCGAGGACGAAACUUUUUAUAGUAGGGGAGGAUGUAAUGUCCCCAGGGUUUAACUGUUGGAAUGACUACAGUAUCAGCGACUGAUCGAUACAUCUGUAGAGUGUUGGGACGAGUUAGAGUUGUUUUGGCGCGAAAUGAAUUGCGAAAACGGACUCGGCACACUCAAAUAAGCCAAAACUGAAGUUUUGCUAGUUUAGGGUGGCCAUAAGUGGUUUAGGGCGCCCAUAUCCAGAGUACUAUUUUGUAAUGAAUGCUGAAGUCAUUUCGGACCUAGUUUUGGGCGCCCGAAAGUUGAGUUCGAAAAUUCACCUUGUGAAUAUCAAUUGUGCUGUGGCUUGUGGUAGGUGAGAUCCGCCGAAAAAGUUUAAGGUGCACCAGACUGGGGUGGAGUGAGCCCAAAUGCUCGGAGGAGAUUUAGGGCACCCAGAAGUGGUUUAGGGUGCCCGAAUAUAGAGUGUUCAGGAGAGUAACAAGUUAAUGUCCUUUGAUCUUGUGGCUCAUUUUAUCUAACCUAUACCUCUAUAAAAGCAUUUGGACAACCUCUGAGAACACUUUUCUCCUCUCCUUCACGGGGAACUAAGAUUUUUCUUACAACCCCCUUCAAAUUCCUCAAAUUCUAUCUUUUCCAUUGGAGAAUCAAAAUUUCUAUAGGAUUCUAGUAGCAACCUUGGAAGAUUUUGCUCCUGUGAGCCGUUGGUGUACUUAGUUGCUAUGGGGAGUUAACUCCCGGACUUUAGACUUGAGAGGGAGUGUAUGGGACAAAUCUAACCAAGUUUAAUUCAGGUUAGUAGUAUCUAAUUGCUGAAAUUCUUGGGAAAUUGGCGUUUUGAGCUGAAAUUGAGAUUUUUAUGAAUUCUUAGAUCUGAUUCUUGUAGAGACUGGAUUUUUCGUCCUUCUUCACUGGUUUAGAAGUUGUUCCUCACCAGAAUUUCAGAUUCAAAGAUGAGUUUAGCUUAGAUUUUGGAUGAACUGAGCUUGUAAUACAAUUUUUGGAGGUUUUGAUGAAAAUUCUUGGAUUUUUUAAUCCAAAUUUUGGUGAAGGCUUAUUGUUGGACUUGGAUUGCUUCUUCCCUCAUCUUUGGAGGUUUGUGACCUUAUUCCACUGGUUUUACAAGUUGGAAUUCUCAAAUUUGAGCUAUAGCAAGCAAAUACUUAAGUGAAGUUUUCUGGAUCCUAAACUGGACCUUUUUUUCUAGAUCCAGAUUGCAAGAAGAGACCUUUGUGGCUGUUUUGAGAGCUCAAUCUUUGUGAGGGAGUUGAGUUUUAAGUCCACUUCAAUUCUCUUCAUUGCAGGGAUAUGUUCGGUGAAGUUUUCUUGACUUUCAACAUAGAAUUGAGCUAAUUUCCAUAUGGAACUCAGGUAGACUUGGAGUUGGCAGUGAUCAAAUCUGGACUCAAGAUCUGGGCACCCAGAACCUACUGCUGGAGGAUUCAGAAGUGCUGCAGCUUGAGACAAAGUUAGCUAGUUUUUGGCUCUCGAGUCCUUUGUUCCGUGGUUGGAUUAGCACCUCAGGUGGGUUAAUGUCUACCGAGUUAUUCGGAAUUUCUCCUAAGUUUUAUAGAAUUUCAGCAUGCAUAAUUCAGUGUUAAUUAUCAUGUUAGUAACUGAAAUUUGCAGAUUUGCAUGCCGUAGUAUGAAAUCUGAAUUUGGAGCUUAAUGUAAUAAUUUUAGAUGAACUUUUGCAUGAUGAACUGUGAUUUGAUUUAGGAGAAAACUCUCGAAAUCUACACACCUCACUUCUCGAAAAGUUAAUAGAUUUAGUUUUAGGAGCUGUUUUCUCUUUUGUAUUACCGCUAUUAGUACGUUGUGGAUACUUAGACUAAUGUAAGUUGAGAUUAUGCUCGUGUUGAGAUGCUGAGCUUAUUUUUACAGCAGUGUUUAGGCUUUUCAUAUUGUCGAGUACCGUCCGGACUGAUGGUGGACCCAAAUUUUUGCUGCUUGUAUCAAAUUAUGCCGAGAGCAUGCGAGCGAUGGUUCUUCGAUCCGUUUGUGUCACGCCUCGAGACCUGCCACUUUGGUCGGAUUCAGGUGUGCCGACAGACCACCGAAUGGACAGAGUUUUCCUAUCCGCCCAAGGCGUCACAAUCAAUACAAUUCACGCGGUUCCAAACAUGAACAGAAUUCAUACAUAGAUUGCAUAAGAAAGGUACCAUAAACAUAAAUACUAAGCUAUUAUAAGCAUUCGUUCGCAUUCACAUUACAUUUCCAUUUACAUUCUUUUUGCUUUCAAAUACAAUCAACUUUAUUACAAUUUUGUUUCAUUCUUUCCUUUCUAUAUCCCUAAGCUAUGCUGACCUAUGGUACAUCUAUCUCUGGUCACAAGUGGUAGGAUGCUAUCUACCGAACUACGCCCUUUCCUCGCGCCGCUGCACCACUCACGUGUGGACCUGAAACAUAGGGUUGUGAACUAUAAACAUAGUUUCCAAUGGGUACAGCCACCCAAGGGAAGAGCUCGACCCACCAAGUCCAAAGGAGGCAACAUAAGCAAGUUAGUCCAACAUAUAACAUAUAGUUCAACUUUAUGCAAUUAAAUAAACAUCAUGCUUAUGCCUCAACAAAAUGCAAUAAUGAAAUCAAUGCAAGUGGGUAUCCUCUUCUAUUUUCUAUUUCACUAUCCAUAUCAUUUACAAUCCGCUCCUAAGGUUUCUCUUACCUUAGCCAAGCUAUUUCACCCGACUCAGUUUUGUGUCAAUCAUUCACAACUUACCGCCUCAGUGACUUAGCCAUUCGGCGGCAAACUCGCCGCACACGCCAGACAAUGACUAAAGUCGCCGAGCGGUGCAAUCCUUUCCUUGACUUAGCCAUCCGGCGGUGAACUCGCCGCACACGCCAGACAAUGGCUCAAGUCACUGGGUGGCGAAAUCGCCGCACGCACCCCAAGUAUCCAGCCUUCGGCGGUGAACUCGCUGCACACCCCUAAGCUAAUACCAAAAUCCCUUAGAUGUGCACGUCAUUUCCAUUCCAAGUCUCAAGGGUUCAUCAUUUAUCCUAUAUUGUCAACCUUUCUAGGUUCAAGUCAUUCAUGUCCUAGUGGCCAUCCUACCACUACAUUUUCAACCUAUAUUCAAUGACACUAGGUUUAAUGUCCAAUCAUGUUCUUUUCUAUCCUAGUUGUCCACACCUAGGAUUCAUAGUCUUCAUGCCAUCCAGUUCUUGAUUUCUCACUAGUUGAAUCCUCUAAUUUUUCUAGAGUUCAUAGACCUAUGUUCAUUAUUCACACCUCGGCAUACAUAUAUAUACAUCCUAUAUGUUUUCAAAUGCCUAUGUCAUCAUCCAAUGGUAGGUAACAUCAUCUAACAACAUAUGAUUUAUGCAUUCAUAUUUACAACAUAUAACCUACGAUUACUUACAUGCAUCAACAACAAUACCAUACUUUACUAUUUUGACAUGGAAGCGACCCAGUCACUUUGGUGAAGCACAAUUUUCACGCCCCACAUUACCACGUUUCUCUGGGCACGCCAACAGACCCGCCGUACACAUAGAAAUUUUUUGUGUAUACGAAGCGCUAGCUGUACCUGUAAACAAAUCAUAGCUACAACCAGAAGUAUAGAGCUGCUAAAACUGAAAAAUAUAAAUAAAAACAUACUAAACCCACUGUACAUACAAUAUUCACAACACGUCGCUCCUGAGAGUACAACAAAACAUAACAGUAUGUACAAGGUAACAACCCAAAACGACCUCUGAAGGGGAUACUCCUCUAGCAUAGUGACCAAGAAAAGUAGGGAUCUAGCUCGCGACUCCCUUACCACGGUCAGAAUCAACAGCAGUAGCGACGGGCGGCUCUGCAAAAAGGUAGCAACAACUGGGUGUGAGAACUACUGCAAAACAGAGUAGUCCUCAGUGGGUACCGUCACCGACCCCAACGGCCCACCCACUAAGUCUACAGUAAGGUAUACAAAGGAUAGUAAAAUAAGCUGGAAGAAACUCUACAGCUAUAUGCUACUAGACUACCACUAUCCAACCAUGCUCUCUGUAGACAUAGAAAUGCAUCACUAGCUACACACUGACCUAAUCUCAAGGGACUGCCGACUGGCCCGUCCAGCCUGUAUCUAAGCUACACCGCACACCACCCACGGGGGUGGCCGGUCCAAGAACAUUGUCCAAAUAGGACUGCUGCGACAUCAACGCAAGAAAAGCCUUACUCCAGAGCAGCACUCGUGGGAGUGACCCAAUCGAGUAUGCAAGCGUGUCUCUAUUGCGCUCAAUCAGGCUCACACAGGCUAUAGUCAAUGCAAAUGGUUCAAGCUGGUCUAACAACUAAGGCUCACGUGCCCUUGGUACAAUCUGAUAUAAAAUGUAAGAUCUGGGUCCACCAUUUGCCCCGACGGCACCCGACAAUACAGAACAGUCCAAACUCUACUGUAAAACGAGUUCGGCUCCUCAACACGAGCGUAAUCUCACCCUACACUAAUCUAAGUAUCUACAACGCACUAACAGCGGUGAUACAACAAAGAAAUUAGCUCCUAAAGCUAAAUCUGUUAACAUUUCGAAAGUGACGGUGUAGGUUUAAUUCGUUUUCUCCUAAGUCAAAUUUCAAUUCAGCAGAUAUGAUUUAUCUAAAAUUCUUAAAUUAUGCUCCAAAUUCAAAUUUCAUAUAAACAUGCAAAUCCAUGAAUUUGAGCUACUAAACAUGGUGAUCGAACAAGAAAAUACAUGCCGACAUUGCUAUGACUUAGAAAGAAUUCCGACGAUUUCGGUAAAUAUUAACCCACCUCAAAUGCUCGUCCAACACCGGCUAGGAGUCGAUAGGCGAAACCCCGCACUAGCUCGACCUCCAACGAAAAUCCCCCGAGGUGCGCGAGCAAUUCUCCAAAGACAAGGUGAACGAAACUGAGAUCAUUCCACAAAUUCACAAAGAAAAAGGCAAGAGAGCUAGAGAGAGAGGGGAUAGAGAAGCUACCGUUUCUCCAAGCUUCUAACACAAAUGAGAGAGUAAUAGGGGUCGCUUGGGAUUUAGCGCCAACAAAAAUGACCAAAAGACCCCUUACCAACUCAAUUUGCCACCUGGAGUACCGAUACUCAACUUGGGUACCGGUACUCGGCACUCAGCCAGCAAACCCUCACACUAGGUAUCGGUACUAGCCCGAUACAGUACCGGUACUCAAUCCCGGUACCGGUACUCACCAAUAGGUAUCGGUACUCAACACAAAGAUACACAAACCCGAGAGCUCCCCUUCGUGUAAUCCCUCUGGGGUACCGAUACACCUCUCAAAUACCGGCACACAACACUCAAAAUCCUGCUUUUGCUGAUUUUAGUGUCCGAAGUCCAACUCUCACAGCUCCGAGUUCGUUUUCGCGUCUAUUUUCGUGCAAAAGCGAAUCCGGCUCGCCUGACACUCUACAGAAGUGUCGACAAGCCACUGAUGCUGCCGUCAGUCCGACCACUAACCCCAGAGACACUACAACAACCCACCUCACAACGCUUUCGAUUGCUUGUAGACACUUCCAAUCGGACUCCUGCGGUCAAUGUCGCCCGAUUUGGUUCGACCCAAGCCUAAUGGAUGAAAUCCGGUGAUAUCUCCCAAUUGGACGCUGUAACCUCACUGUAAUCCAAAUCAAGGUUGUCCCUUGCGUCGAUUUACACUUCAAUUAGAGAUUUAUGAGAUCAAUUUAGUUCCAAACCUCUUAGGGACAAAAACCCCAAAUCCAAGUCCUAGAUUUCAAUUUCUCCAAAAAUAUUCCAAAUCCAUGGAGAGAUCUUGAUUAAACAAGUAUAAAUCAUCUAGAGGACUCUAGAAUCUCAUUUCAAGGGAUUUAACCAAAAAUCCUAAUCUCUUAACCCAAAAAUGAACCUCGAGUCGAAAGCGCUCCAAGCCACUAAGCGCCCGAGAGCUCGAUUCACCACUCCUCUGAGUUUCCUGAGUUCGAUCUCCAUCAAGAUCUCCAAGCUGGAGAAGAAGAAAAAGAGAGUGAGAGAGAUGAACUCCCCUCUCUCUCUCUCUCUCUCUCUCUUAGUGUACGUGUGUGUUCUGUAGAGAAAAGAUGAAGGGCACCCUUUUAUAUAGGCCCUCACAUAAAAUUACUCAUUUACCUCUCAAAAAUAGCAUUCUCCAUCAAGAUCUCCAAGCUGGAGAAGAAAAAAAAGAGAGUGAGAGAGAUGAACUCCUCUCUCUCUCUCUCUCUCUCUCUCUCUCUCUCUCUUAGUGUACGUGUGUGUUCUGUAGAGAAAAGAUAAAGGGCACCCUUUUAUAUAGGCCCUCACAUAAAAUUACUCAUUUACCCCUCAAAAACAGCAUUCUGCAGCACUGUGUACCGGUACUCGGGUUGGCGUACCGGUACUCAAUUUCCAGUACCUCAAAACCCGAAUGUUGGAUUCUUAAUUUUCUACUGCGUACCGGUACUCGGUUUUCAGUACCGGUACCCAAUACAAACUCACUACCGGUACUCAGGUUUGAUUCCUCAAAAUCCGAAAACUCAUUUUUCUCAUUUUGUAUUGCUUACUAGUACACAGAUUCCAGUAUCGGUACUCAAUACAAAUUCUUUAUUUUGAUAAAUUUUACCUUUCCGAGUCUGUUUUCACAUUCAGUUUGCGCCGAAAACACUCGAAUACUCCCCAAACUUUGCUGGAAAUAUUUUAAUAGCUUUUUAAGCUAGUUUUCCCCAAAACUUCAUAAUUGUAGAAGUUCGGUAUAUUACAGUUUGAGUAUUUGUAUUGAUUACAGCCUGCUCGAGCCUAAUUGAACUCGACAAAGACAUGCUUCUAUACUCGGUAGGGGUCGUGCUCCCCGAGUGCCACUCCAGAGUCUGGCUUUCUUACGUUGAUGUCGCAGCAGCCCCGUUUGGAAAUUUUUACUUGGACCGGCCACCCCCAUGAGUAGUGUGCGGUGUAGCAUGGGCACAGGCUAGACUGGCUAGUUGGCAGUCCCUUGGGAUUGGGUCACUUGUGAUAGUUUGUAGUUAGUGAUGCAUAUAUAUGUCUACUAAGAGCAUGACAUGGGUAGCUGUAAUGUAGUGACAUUUUAACUGUAGAGUUUCUUCCAGCUUAUUUUACUGACUUUUUAUCUAUCAAGUUAUUGUUAGCUUUGCAGACUUAGUGGGUAGGCUGUGGGGUCGGUGACAGUACCCACUAAAGACUACUCUAUUUUAUAGUAGUUCUCACACCCAUUGUUGCCACUUUAUUUUGCACAGCCGUUGGUUGCUGCUGCUUUUACUGAUCGCGGUAAGUGAAUCGCGAGCUAGAUCCCUGUCUACCCCGGUCGUUGAGCUAGAGGAGUACCAUUUUGGAGUCAGUUCAUAUUUAUUUUAGUCAUGUACAUACAGUUGUAUUUUAUUUUACCGGUUAAGAGUUCUGAGAUACUGCACUUUUGGUUUUUGUUGUACACCUUGGAUUACAUGUAUAUACCUUUGACUACGUAUUUUGGUUUAGAAGCUCUGUUACUCUCUAGAAGUUGUCUUAUAUUGUUACAGGUUCUUCUUUUGCUUCAUGUACACAGGGCUACUUGUGUAUGCAGCAGAUCUAUUGGCGAUCCUGGGGAAUCCCAAAACUCGAGGCG